rnacentral:rRNA from 1 species
UUGACCUCGGAUCAGGUAGGGAUACCCGCUGAACUAGCA